rnacentral:rRNA from 1 species
UGCGCAGGUGGGUUGGCAAGUUUGAUGUGAAAGCCCCGGGCUUAACCCGGGGAUGGCAUUGAAUACUGCUGAUCUGGAGGAUUGGAGGGGGGACUGGAAUUCUUGGUGUAGCAGUGAAAUGCGUAGAUAUCAAGAGGAACACCAGUGGCGAAGGCGAGUCCCUGGACAAUACCUGACACUGAGGCACGAAAGCCAAGGGAGCAAACA